rnacentral:lncRNA from 1 species
CGCCAAGGUUGUAGGCGGCGGCUGGCAUCUGUAGCAGGUGCGUGCCGGAGGCGGCCCAGCGCGCUGAGCCGCAGCUUGGCCUGCUGCUGCAGGUACUGCGCCGCGUCGGCCCGGCUUACUGGGCGCCAGGUGGUCGGACUUGAGCACCUUGAAGCGCUUUCGGCGCCGCAGGAAGCUGCCGUUCUCGAACAUGUCCCCGCAGCUGGGGUGCAGCGCCCAGAAGCUGCCCUUGCCCGGCUGGUCGGGCCGCCGCGGGAUCUUGAUGAAGCAGUCGUUGAAGGAGAGAUUGUGGCGAAGGCUGUUCUGCCAGCGCUGCGUGUUCUCCCGGUAGUAGGGGAAGCGGUCCAUGAUGAACUUGUAGAUCUCACUCAGCGGCAGCAUCUUCUCGGGCGAGCUCUGGAUGGCCAUGGCGGUCAGCGAGAUGUAGGAGUAGGGCGGCUUCUGGUCGCUGUACGUGUUGCGGCCCGGCCGAGGCAUCUUCUCACUUGUCCUCUUCUGGCUUUGGGUCCGCGCCGGCAGGCGGAAUGCUCGGAUCUGGGAAGCGGGGAGGUCAGGGAGGGGUGGGGACGCACAUGGACACCGCGAGGGUAGUCAGGCGGGACGGGGAGCGGUGAGGGAGGGGGUGGAGACAGACUUCGGGGCUGCGGGUAGGGGCUGCGCGCUUAAUCAGCCGGCGCCCGCGCUCCUUGGCUAGCAACUUUGCGCGCUGACUGGCCCAGGGACAGGAGAGGGCUAGGCCGGCCAGCUGCGCGAAGAUAGCAAGGGAAGUAAGUGGAGUCCCAGAUAUGGACCGGGCUGGGAGGCGGUGGGGACGCCACGGAGAUCGGCUCACCUUAAAGUUGCUCCAAGUUGCGCGUCCGCAUCCGGGAUGGCGCGCUGCUUGUUACGUUCCUCCCGAUGCGUGGCCCAGGAGCAGCGUCCGGGUUCCGUUGGACUCCUCGGCGCGAACCAGGGCUCUGGCGCUUAGCCUCGCAGCGCCCUGCGCCGCUGCCUCCGCGGCGCUUCUGGCUUUGCGUGCGGCCGGCAGCGAGCUCGGCUGCGGAGUCCAGGCGUGGAUGUUGGCCGCAGAGACCCGGGGACUCGGGAGGGCGCUGCUGUGGGCUCCGUGGCUCCGCUGAGCUAGGAAUCACUUCCAACUCCAGACUGGGCGAUGGGGAAGAGCCUCGGCCAGUGGCGGGGAGCGAGACGCGCCGGCCGGUGGCCGGUGUGCGCCGGGUGCAGGUGCAGCCGCCCUGCCGAGGCGAUUUAGGGCAUCCAGACUACAGAGAGAGGGGAGAGAAGCGAGGAGGGGCCCUGGGAAGCUCUUGCCGGCUGGAGGCUCAGGUGAGCGCGGUAAUUGCGCGGACGUCGCUGCGAGGCGGUGAGGCGGCGCUCUUCCUACAGGCAGCCCAGGGCUUUUUUGU